rnacentral:rRNA from 1 species
AAUGAACGCUGGCGGCAGGCCUAAAACAUGCAAGUCGAACGCCCUAGCAAUAGGGAGUGGCGCACGGGUGAGUAACAUGUGGCAAUAUGCCUUUUGGUACGGAACAACGUUUGGAAACGAACGCUAAUACCGUAUGGUCCCUCCGGGGUAAAGAUUUAUCGCCAAAAGAUUAGCCCGCACUAGAUUAGCCAGGUGGUAAGGUAAUGGCUUACCAAGGCGACGAUCUAUAGCUGUUCUGAGAGGAAGAUCAGCCACACUGGGACUGAGACACGGCCCAGACUCCUACGGGAGGCAGCAGUUAGGAAUAUUGGACAAUGGGCGCAAGCCUGAUCCAGCCAUGCCGCGUGAGUGAUGAAGGCCUUCGGGUUGUAAAGCUCUUUAGCCGACGAAUAUAAUGACUGUAGUCGGAGAAUAAGCCCCGGCUAACUUCGUGCCAGCCGCCGCGGUAAGAC